rnacentral:rRNA from 1 species
GACAGAGGUGCCAAGCGUUAGGCGGAAUCACUGGGCUUAACGCGUGUGUAGGCGGACUUCUAAGUGCCUUGUGAAAUCCCACGGCUCAACCGUGGAACUGCUGGGCAUACUGGGAGUCUUGAGCCAACUAGGGGCUACCGGAACAAAUGGUGGAGCGGUGAAAUGCGUAGAGAUGUGGAGGAACACCAGUGGCGAAGGCGACUCUUUGGCCUGUAACUGACGCUGAGGCGCGAAAGCGUGGGGAGCAAACAGG